GAUGGAAAAUACACAGAGAAUCUUGAUACUGUAUACUAUUAUGCUCUCUUUGAAUUGUUUGAAUGCUGAGGAAGGACCAACAGCUGCCCAAAGAUAUUUGUUUAUAAAGGCUGCUGAACUAAUCCAUCGUAGAGAUUUUGAUGCCUUGACUUUGAAAUUUGGAUCUAAGGACAUGAUACUUUGGAAAGGAGUUUCUUUUUUUGUUUUCACAGAGGACGAGACCCUGUUCAUUUCUUCUAUUCCGAUAUGGUAUGAUAGACCACGCCCUCCUGAAGAGUUCCUGUGAACAUCUUCAGAAAAUUGCUUCGCUCAACUGCCAACUGAGAUGAAACUAGCACACAGGUUAUAGCAUGAAAGACCUAAUUAACGACGCCCCCAUUCAGCAGGAAGCAGUUUGGAGAGAAAUAACUGCGCCCAUAUUCCCAAAUAUGGUUUAUAAACGUUCUUUUACAUUUAAAGGGGGAUAUGAUAUAGAUAUGAAUAAUUUGCAUUAGUAUAGAUUUUGCUUUAUUGAUAGAGAUUUAAGGUCAAUUUUGAAUGUAUAUAGGUUGUUAAUGAAUAAUCAUUAAUAGUAGUUAAGCUUGUAGUUAUGUUAGUUAAGAUUUUCUAGAUGUGCAUAGAUAUAUUUUAGAUAGGCAUUCUUCAUAUCUUUCAAAGGCUAGAGAAUAUGGCAUUUUACAUGUUUUAAUAACUUAGGACUUUUCAUGACAAUGAGACACUCUGCUCCUGGCAGCACCAAUCUACUUCAAGAGGAAGAUGGGCAUCAAAGAGGAUCCUUAUGGAGUUUGAUAGCCAUUUGGGCAAGAAACUGCUCUUGCCUGGACUAUUGCAUAAACUGGACACAGAGAACCCGCAGAGAGAGGACUGCUGAACUUGCCUAAAGGUGAGAUGAUCUUUCGGGGUUCCUGAUUCAUGAAAGAGUCUGCAAGACAUUCUUCAGGACAAGCAGAUAGUGACUGCCUUUGAAAGUUCCUGCUUUGUGGAAAUGUCUGCUGGAAACUAUGGGCCUCUAGGCUGAAGAUGGAUGCCCCAACGGUACAGAGGAACUUUGGGUGACUGUCCAGGCAGUGAGAUGUCUCUGUCAUUUCUAGAGUUUGAGUUUGCUUAUUUCUUAUUUGCUUAGGUAAUAUUGUAUCUUUCUGGACUGUUUGAUGGAGUUAAGAAUAGUUAGUUAUAGUUAUAGUUUUUCUUAGUUAUGAUAUAGAUUAUUGUAAUUUUUACUUGAUAACUGUUUUGUUAUAUGUAAUUUUGCUAUGUUAAGUUAAAGCCUUCUUUUUUUUUUGUUUAAACAGAAAAAGGGGAAGUGAUGUGGGAGUGUCAUAUAUCAAUCUGUUGAUUUCAUUGGUUAAGUUAUAAUAAACCAGCUGCUUGGCCUCAUGGCUGGAACAUAGAUGGGAGGAGUAAACAGAAUAGAAUUCUGGGCGGAAGAGGAAGUGAGGUCAGACUCUGCUCUGCUCCCGGAGACUCAACAGCUCUGCUCUGGAGCAGAGAUGCCAUGCUCAGCUCUCCCGGGCAGAUGCAAGCAAUGAAGCUCCUCCAACUCCGGAUGGAUGUAGGCUAGAAUCUUCCCGCUUCCUGCCUGGGACACAGCUGCCUGCAUGGCCUGCCAUGGUCUUGGGACCCACUGCCUACCACUGCUCAGGGUUGAGAUCCAGAACCAGGUAUUUUUCCACAACAAACACGUGUUCCAUCUGCCUGAGCACUGACCUCUAUGCACACCUGCAACUUCAGUGGUGAGUUUUCCCUUUCCAGCCCCCAACCACAGCCUUCAUUACUAUUGUUAAGCCCUUCAUUGAUUUCCAUAGCUAAAAACAUGACCAGAUGACCUGGGGUCAGUCCUCCCACACUAAUACUGCACAUGCUGUGUGGUGCACUUGACUGGGGGUCCAGGGUCCCUUGGAUUUUUUUCUUCUUUUCUCUUUUCUUGUUCUUGACAAAUUAAUCAUCAGUGUUUUCCACCAUGAGAGACCACUUGGAGUGGCCUCUAGCCUCUCUAGCUUCCAAAUCACCCAGACUGGAGCCAGUCAGGCUUUAACACCUGGCCUAUAGAUAAAGGAUGCUGAGAGACGUCCCCCUAUAAGCUUUUGGUGUUGCUGUUUUCAUAUUUUCAGGUAUGGUAUAAACCUUCACUCUGCUGCUGUCCUGCCAGCUCCACUGGCUCCACUUUUCCUCAAUCUGUACCCUCCACUGCUAUUGCUGUCAGUAAGAUUGGCCAGUCCAUGAUGCAACUGUUUUCAAUUCCAGCCUUUUGCUCCCUGCCACAGCUUAUGGCAUGGAGGCUCAGCAACAGGGUGGAUCAUGCCUCUAGAUCUCUCUUCCAUGCAACAUGUGACCACUGCCAUUUUGAUUGAGGUCAGGUGACCAAGUUCCACCAUCUUUACUGAGGUAUUCCCUGCCUGGUCCCAGUUUACUUAUGUUUUUGUCUCUAAAUUCCUCUUGCUGACUCUGUUACAUGUGUGUUUUAUGCAGUGGCAUGCCUCUGGUAGGGCCCACCAAGAGCAUCCACUUUGCCCAAUUCCUGUUUACUCUGUGUGUGUGUGUGUGUGUGCGCGCGCGUGCAUGUAACUUAAAUACACCUAUGGUUUUUCUUUUGUUUUUAUCUCCUUAUUUAUUUAUUUAUUUAUUUAUUUAUUUAUUUAUUUAUUUAAGAUUUCUGUCUCUUUCCCGCCACCGCCUCCAUUUCCUUCCCCCUCCCCCAAUCAAGUCCCCCUCCCUAGUCAGCCCAAAGAGCAAUCAGGGUUCCCUGCCCUGUGGGAAGUCCAAGGACCACCCACCUCCAUCCAGGUCUAGUAAGGUGAGCAUCCAAACUGCCUAGGGUCCCACAAAACCAAUAGGUGCAGUAGGAUCAAAAACCCAUUGCCAUUGAUCUUGAGAUCUCAGUAGUCCUCAUUGUCCGCUAUGUUCAACGAGACCGGUUUUAUCCCAGGCUUUUUCAGACCCAGGCCAGCUGGCCUUGGUGAGUUCCUGAUAGAACAUCCCCAUUCUCUCAGUGUGUGGGUGCACCCCUCGCGGUCCUGAGUUCCUUGCUCGUGCUCUCUCUCCUGCUCCUGAUUUGGACCAUGAGAUUUCUGUCGGGUGCUCCAAUGUUUACUGUUAAAUGUGAUAAUUGUUCAUUGUAUCUCAUUUCAGACUACAAAACAGUCAUGUUUUUAAUGGGUAUGUUCUUUUAAGUCUCUUACAAAAAAUACUAUAUAUAUAUAUAUAUAUAUUCCAACCUUGAUUUAAAAUAUAUUAAGCUGUUCUCUGCUAUUGUUAGGUUCUGCCGUUAAUCUUCUAUUGCAAGCAGUUUUUUCUACUUUCUGUUUUUUUACAAGUGUAAAUUUUACCUGUUAAGUUGAGAGCCAGUACAGUCAAGCUUGGACUCAGCUCUCCAGGAAGAUUCUAUACUGUAGUUAUAUCUGAUAAACAGUUUUCAACUGCUCAGAGAUCUAGGGAAUAUGGCAUUUAAAUAUUUAAUUAUUAAAAGACUUUUCAUAACAAAAAGAGACAGGUUGGCUCCAAGCAGCAGCACUCUACUUCCUCCAAAGAAGACAGAAGACAAAUGGGCACAGAACAACAUCCAUCUGUAAUUCGCUUCAACUGCCAAGCACUGACCACUGGGAAAAACUGCCUUUCAUCUAAACUGAAGAUCUCCAGACAUGGGUAGAAUCACUGGAAUCGACAGCAUAGCUGCUCAGGUCAAGGGAGUCGAAUUGGACCCACCUGAGCAGGUCAGAUUCACUCAAGGUCCAAGCUGUCAGUCAGAUGAUUCUACAGAGCUCAAACAAGGGGGAAGACCCAACCAUCUCAGGAGAAGCCUCCCAGAGAUGACUCAUGCCCACCAAGUCAGCUUGAACAGUUUUGAGAGCCCCAAUGCCCCCAUUCCUGCUCAUCUUCAACCCUUAAUUCCUCCCCAUUUGUUAAUAAACAAAAGGGUGAGUUGUUAUUUCUAUCACAUCCGGGGUCCCAUGGUCACCAACAUUCAGGCAGAAUGCUUAGUCACCCUAGGCAUUAGCAUUUCUGGUUCCCAUGGUCUCGUAUGUGCCAUCAGCAUUCACGCAAACUGCCUCAUCAGCCUAGGGCCUCACACCCUAUGUAACCUAUGUGCAGCGUAAUCACUUAAUCUAUGCAUGAUGUGAUUAUGUAAGUCCCUAUGCGCAUGCGCUAAACGACAUUUAAAAAGUGGAUAUGCCCACUUCACUCUCUCUCACCGUGUUGCUUUCAGACAGACCUGUGCACCUUCCCUUUUUUCUCCUCCUCUCCCUUCUCUUUAUUAA